UAACCCCGUCGGGAGAGAACAUGGCAUUUUGAUUCUCCCCCUAGUCCCCGCCCUCCUGACGUCACCCGGAAGAGGGGGACGGACGGGGGAACCAAGAUGGCGUUUCUACGCUGUAGGCGAGACCCGUGUGGAUUUAUAUGUCUCAUACUAACUUAUUUCAGCGUCUUUUACGCCGAUUAUGUGGUCAUUCAGUAUGUCCUCAUCCCUGCCUACUCGGGAAGUGUGUGGUGUACACUACAUGGGUCAGUGUUUAACUUGAUUCUACUACUGCUGCUGGCCUGUCACUCCAAAGCUGUCUUCUCAGACCCAGGUAUGGUUCCCCUACCAGAGACGGCCAUCGACUUCUCUGACCUGAGGUCCCAGAAUUCACACAUGAAUGAGAGGGGUUGUGAGGGCUGGACUGUUUGUAGUCGUUGUGAGACCUACCGCCCCCCCAGAGCUCACCACUGUAGAGUAUGUCAACGAUGCAUACGACGCAUGGACCACCACUGUCCCUGGAUCAAUAACUGUGUUGGAGAGUUGAACCAGAAGUACUUCAUCCAGUUUCUCUUCUAUACAGGUAUGGCCAGUCUCUACUCCAUGGCUCUGGUGGUGUCAGCCUGGGUGUGGAGAAUACGGAGCGAGAGAGACGGUGAAGGAGAGAAGGAAGGAGAGGAGUCUCCCAGCAAACACCUGAUUGUAGCUCACUACAUCAUUCUCCUGGUUGAGUCAGUGUUGUUUGGAGUGUUCGUCAUGGUCAUCUUCUACGACCAGUUGGUGUCCAUUAUAACAGAUGAAACUCCUAUAGAACAUUUGAGGAACAGACUGAUGAAAGACAGAACAUCGAUCACCAGCAGCACCUCUGAGCCACCGACACACAUCCCACACACACGCAAGCCCAAACUAGCCCUGCUCAGAGAGGUCUUCGGGAGAGGGUCGGUGUUCUGUUGGCUGUUCCCUCUACAUUCCAGUCCCCCCACCGUCGGUGGAAUCAGCUACUCGGCUGUUCCGGAUUAUGAUGUGUAACGUUCCCACAACCUUCAAACAACAUUCUGUGACGACAGCGUUUUAACAUUCCUUCAACGUUGUGGUUACGUUACGGCCAUCAUAUAAUUAGGGCUGUCAAAUGAUUCAUUUAAUUCGUGGCGUUUAGUUAAUCGCAAUUCGUUACAAUGUUGAGGGAAGGUUAGUUUUAGAUGUUGAGGGAAGGUUAGUUUUAGAUGUUGAGGGAAGGUUAGGGUUGAGGGAAGGUUAGUUUUAGAUGUUGAGGGAAGGUUAGUUUUAGAUGUUGAGGGAAGGUUAGUUUUAGAUGUUGAGGGAAGGUUAGUUUUAGAUGUUGAGGGAAGGUUAGUUUUAGAUGUUGAGGGAAGGUUAGGGUUGAGGGAAGGUUAGUUUUAGAUGUUGAGGGAAGGUUAGUUUUAGAUGUUGAGGGAAGGUUAGUUUUAGAUGUUGAGGGAAGGUUAGUUUUAGAUGUUGAGGGAAGGUUAGGGUUGAGGGAAGGUUAGGGUUGAGGGAAGGUUAGGGUUACAGUAUUUGAUACGAUAUUACUGAUUAUACUACUGAUGUAUUCUGACUUGUUACACACACUACCGCACACACUACCACUACCACACCCACUACCACACUACCACACACACUACCACACACACUACCACUACCACACCCACUACCACACUACCACACACACUCCCACUACCACACCCAC